rnacentral:rRNA from 1 species
CACGUAGUUAGCCGGGGCUUCUUAGUCAGGUACCGUCAUUUUCUUCCCUGCUGAUAGAAGUUUACAUACCGAAAUACUUCAUCCUUCACGCGGCGUCGCUGCAUCAGGGUUUCCCCCGUUGUGCAAUAUUCCCCACUGCUGCCUCCCGUAGGAGUUUGGGCCGUGUCUCAGUCCCAAUGUGGCCGGUCACCCUCUCAGGUCGGCUACUGAUCGUCGCCUUGGUGAGCCUUUACCUCACCAACCAGCUAAUCAGACGCGGGUCCAUCCCAUACCACCGGAGUUUUUACCCCUGCCACCAUGCGGCGCUGUGGUCUUAUGCGGUAUUAGCAGACAUUUCUAUCUGUUACUCCCCCUGUAUGGGGCAGGUUACCCACGCGUUACUCACCCGUCCGCCACUCAGUCACAGUACUAAUCCAACCCGAAGGAAUACAAAGUAAAGUGCUUCGUUCGACUUGCAUGUGUUAAGCACGCCGCCAGCGUUCACUCCUGACGCCAGGACUACAAACUCU